rnacentral:rRNA from 1 species
UACAGAGGUCUCAAGCGUUGUUCGGAUUUAUUGGGCGUAAAGGGUGCGUAGGCGGUGUGGCAAGUCAAGUGUGAAAUCUCGGAGCUCAACUUCGAAACUGCACUUGAUACUACUAUGCUAGAGGGUUGUAGAGGAGACCGGAAUUCACGGUGUAGCAGUGAAAUGCGUAGAUAUCGUAAGGAAGACCAGUGGCGAAGGCGAAUCUCUGGACAGUUACUGACACUGAGGCACGAAGGCCAGGGGAGCAAACGGG